GAUGAACGCUGGCGGCGUGCCUAAUACAUGCAAGUCGAGCGAACAGACGAGGAGCUUGCUCCUCUGACGUUAGCGGCGGACGGGUGAGUAACACGUGGAUAACCUACCUAUAAGACUGGGAUAACUUCGGGAAACCGGAGCUAAUACCGGAUAAUAUAUUGAACCGCAUGGUUCAAUAGUGAAAGACGGUUUUGCUGUCACUUAUAGAUGGAUCCGCGCCGCAUUAGCUAGUUGGUAAGGUAACGGCUUACCAAGGCAACGAUGCGUAGCCGACCUGAAAGGGUGAUCGGCCACACUGGAACGGAGGCACGGUCCAGACUCCUACGGGAGGCAGCAGUAGGGAAUCUUCCGCAAUGGGCGAAAGCCUGACGGAGCAACGCCGCGUGAGUGAUGAAGGUCUUCGGAUCGUAAAACUCUGUUAUUAGGGAAGAACAAAUGUGUAAGUAACUAUGCACGUCUUGACGGUACCUAAUCAGAAAGCCACGGCUAACUACGUG
rnacentral:rRNA from 1 species